AUGAAAAUCCCACAAAUGAUAAAUGUCUGACUUAAUAAAUCUCUCUCUUGUUCUUUCUCAUCUUUCCCAUUUCCGCAUACAAAAACAUCUAGAAAAACAUGCACAAUAGUACACGCUUUCUGCCUUAUCGUCCUCCUUCAGCUUUUAAUUCCUCACAUUUUUGGGUUAAUUUUAUUCAAAUAUUUGGGCGGAAUUUUGACUUUCAAAUUUUGAUAUUGUUUUUUGAGAAUAAAAAUUUCGUCUCAAAUUUUUUUCCCAUUCUCUACAUACUCUUGAUCACACGAAGAAGGAGAGAAUCUCUGUGCUUUUAAGUGCGAGGGAAACACGAAGAAGAGUCACUAAUUUGGAUAAUCAGGUUUCAGAUAGAGGUCUGGUUACUAUGGCUUUUGAGGGAGGAUUAAGGGCUUUGGUGGAAGGAUUUUGGAGGAAGAAGAACUUGGUUGCCAUAUCUUCAUGGGUUUCAAGGAUUCGGAUCCAAAAGUGCUCAAGAAUAUUGUUGGAAUGUUUUGAGAGACUUUAAGUUUUUAUUUUAGUAGAAAUGACUGUAAUGUAUAUAUUUUUGGGUUGUAAUUAAGAUAGGCAUCGAAUGAUGAAUCUUUUGUGUGUGAACCUAUGUAAUAGCCUUUGGAUGUAUGUAAAUGUUAUUUUGGGGUGUAAUGAAUAUUAUUGGUUAGUUUAGAAAUGUCAAGUAAUUCUUGCUA